rnacentral:pre_miRNA from 1 species
UUAACGCAAAUUUGUAUGGAAUUGGAACGUUCGCCUACUUUGCCGCUAGGGGCGCUGUUUCAACUGUAUACGAAUUUGAGUUA